rnacentral:rRNA from 1 species
UACGGAGGGGGCGAGCGUUAUUCGGAAUUAUUGGGCGUAAAGGGCGCGUAGGCGGCUGUACAAGUCAAAGGUGAAAUCCCUCGGCUCAACUGAGGAACUGCCUUUGAAACUGUACGGCUUGAGGCCGGGAGGGGGUAGCGGCAUUCCCAAUGUAGCGGUGAAAUGCGUAGAUAUUGGGAGGAACACCAGUGGCGAAGGCGGCUACCUGGACCGGUUCUGACGCUGAGGCGCGAAAGCGUGGGUAGCAAACAGG